GAGCGCCGGCUGCCCUGACGUCAGCAUGGCCGCGGCCCCUGACUACCCAGCUCCCUUCUAUCCCUCGAGCGGCAGGAAUCCGUCCCCACGCCCUUUUCCUUUAAAGGGCAACGGGCCGAAGGUGGGGCGGGCGGCGCGGCUCCCGCGAUCCAUUCAGGUCAAAAGGGAGAGUGAUCAAACAGGAGAGCCGAGGGGACCUAUAUUCAGAGACUUAACCGGACACCUGGACAGACCAUUACAACUUGGGACUUUUCAGGAGAAUGAGGGAAAUGUAGUUAUUGCACCUGAGCCUCACUCCAGCUCUGAGGUCCUCUUCACUUCUCUUUGGAAGAAAAUUGGAUAUCUUUUCCUAGUUGAAAGAGUAGAGAUCUGAUUUCUCCAAGGAUCAUCGCUUUUUGACACGGGAUUAUUAGAAGCAUUCAUUCAUCUAUCAAGGAGUUUUGGGAUACUUGCCAUAAGCCAAGCCCUCUGAUAGGUGCUGGAAACAUCAAGCUCUGUGCCCAGGAAGUUCAUCCUUGGACUGCACGCAUGAACGAGUUUGCUGUCUUCCCAUUGGAUUCAGCCAGUCCGCGGUCCUGAUGUAGAACCAAAGGCUCAGAGCAGCUGAAAGACAGGUAAGGGUGCUCUCCUUGUAGGGAAUAAUGGGAGAACCCAGGGCACUUGGAGGUAGGCAAGAGUGUGCCAAGGUGCGGUGAACUUUCUCCUAGCUUUACCAUUUUGCACAACACCAGCUCUCCAUACCCAGAAACUUGCAAAUAAAGGGCACUCUCUCCAUCUGGCUGUGGGUGUAAUUCUUCUCUGUCCAGGCUUAAUGUCACCAGCAUGAUUAGCGCCUGUAUCAGGAAAUCGUGACCCACUCUUCCCAUUCAUCUUUGCCUCUGCAGAUGAUGAGGAGAAUGGCAGUUUGAGGUUGGAGAACAUUUCUCCCAUUAUGAAAGCUCCCUUUGUGGGGCCAGCCCAGCCUCCAGGUCAACAGAGGUAGGAAAGAGGUUGCUAUGUGAAUUUUUGCAGUGUAAUAGGUGAAGUUUAUUUGAAAACUUCUUUUGAAAGCUUGGGAUAUGUGAAGUCCCAUUACUUUCAAAUAAUUGUUUGAAAAGCUAUGGGUUCUGGCUAUAUGGAUUCCUGUUGCUCCUUAGGAACAGAACAAAGGGUGCUGAACUUGGGAGGCGGGCUGCUUGCUAAGCCUGGUCAUGGUCAGGGGUUUGUCCAGUCAGACAGCCACACCUUUGUUAAAAGGAGAAUAUCUUUUAACAAAACGACUCUUUAAGAAACUACCUAUGUGGACUGAAUAAUUACAUUUCCUAAGCUUUCUGACAGUUCUAAAACUAACUCUCAGCAUAUUUUUAAAGCUUAAGAUAUUGAUUUUGAUCAAAGUACUUUUAUUCACAUGUGAAAUUCACUUAAGAGACAUCUACUACUAGUCUGAACCUUUGCACAUAACCCCACUGAAGAACAUAAGAACUUAAUUGUAACAUAAACUUUGGUAGCUG
rnacentral:lncRNA from 10 species